GCCAUGAAGGCCUUCAUCGAUCUUAAGCCUGUCGGAGCCAACAUGGUGGAGUACCUUCAGGCAGCAGACCAGGCCAUACCCCUGCACCCUGGUGUUGGGAGGCGAGGACUGCUGCUCUCAGGCAUUCACCGUUCCCAGUGGGCCGGCCCUGGAGCACGACAGCGUUGUCCAAGCUGUACAUGUUUGUGUCAAAUGUUUACAUGUGUUUGAUAUCAAUUUCCCAAAGCAGUGUUUCUCUGCUUAGCAGUUCCUCCAGAAAGAAUGGGGGGUGGUAGUAAUGUGGCCCCAUGCGUUUGUUUUUUGGAAAUGCACAUGCCAUAAGGGAAUUCUCUCUCUCUGUCUCUCUCUAAUAUUUACGAGGAAUAUAAGGAGAAAAUUAAUUGUUAAUAAUUGUUGCUUGUAUUAGUCCAGUUAUUUGAUACUCAUUUUGAAAUGAGGUAGGGAUAAUGUGGCCCCAUGCAUUUCUUCUUUGGAAACGCUCAUGUGAUAAGGGAAUUGGACUUGUUAUUGUUAUUCCAGUUUUUCUCUUUAAAUGAGUAAAUUAAAUAUUGUUCAAUAAAAUCAGUGACAUUAA